UACAGAGGGGGCAAGCGUUGUUCGGAAUUACUGGGCGUAAAGGGCGCGUAGGCGGCCUGUUAAGUCGAACGUGAAAUCCCUGGGCUCAACCCAGGAACUGCGUCCGAUACUGGCAGGCUUGAAUUCGGGAGAGGGAUGCGGAAUUCCAGGUGUAGCGGUGAAAUGCGCAGAUAUCGGGAGGAACACCAGUAGCGAAGGCGGCUCGCUGGGCCAUUCCUGACGCUGAGACGCGAAAGCUAGGGGAGCGAACAGG
rnacentral:rRNA from 1 species